GUCCAGGUCCCCGCAGCAGCCUGUACAGUCCUGUUACUUGCAGGGGUGGGCGAGCCCCUGGGAGGACGCCGGCGACCCCGGACAUGGUGCCAUGAACUGUUCUUUUUGGUGACCCUGUGCAUGUGUCGCUGUCUCAGAGCCAGGCAACUAUGGGCUGAAAACUCUACAAAAUGGUCGUGACACUCGCCGCGUGAAGGAAGACUCCAAGA